UCAGAAUGAAGAAGAGAAAACAAAUCUAACAGAGACAAGAAAACCGGUUGAAAGGAAUAGACUAAAACAAACAGCUACGAAAACAACUUUCAAUCCGAGAUAAAUGUUUUGUCAACGUAAAACGGAAUUUUUUCACACUGCAGAAAAAAAGUAUUCAACGGAAAGAACAAACGGUAUCUCAGGCAAGAAAUUGAGAAAUUGAGAAAAAGGAUGAGAUGCCGAUAUUCAAACAGUGAUGAAUUUGAAAAAAACAGACACACACACGGACACACAAAGAAAGAUUCAGCAAAGUCAAAAGGCUUUCAACUAUUCUGGAGGAAAGUGUUGUGGUGGUAAGUCGGUAAGUUAGAGGUCGAUGGUAAUAGAAGUUGGUUGAACGAUUACGUUGUUGUUUCGUCCUGUCCUGUCUGGUCCCUGACCUGUUAUGUUGAUGCAGAGAAGAAGAAAAAGGGCGGCUAAAAGCAAAUAACACAAACUAAGAAUAACGAAAUUCGCAACAGCUCGUAAAAGUGUCCGAAAAAGAAAAGACGGAAAAUUCCGGUAUAUAUAGAAAAGGAUUAAUCGGUGGAAAAAAAAUGAAGGAUUGAUGGCUAGAUGGAAUACACAGUGCGUGUGUACGUUUUAAAAAAAACCCAAAAAAAAUUGCAAAAGGAGAAAAGGGAAAGCUAAAUUGUAAACGGGUAAGAAGGAAAGCAAUAUAGCACGCGAUUGACAACCGUUCCAACAAGAAAAAUUUUUCCAAAGAGAAAAAGCCGCGCACUAAUCGUAAUCGAGUUAGCCGUAGGAAAUAAAAAUAAAUAAAUCCCAAAUAAGUAGGUGCUUGGUAAUAUAGAAAAGUGGUUCCCUCUAAUGAUGAAAUAGUGCAAUCAAGGAAGGAAACGUAGAUAUUAAAAUGGAACAAACUUGCACGUGUUUUUGAAGGAAAGGAAGAAUUCUAGUAAUGUCAAGUCACUUAGCUUUGCUGUUGAUACAACACAAGCCGAUUAGCAAAAUAUUGUAGAAGAGAAGCAGAAAGUCGUGAUAAGAGAAAAAGAGAAAAUCGACA